rnacentral:rRNA from 1 species
UGACGGUAUCUAACCAGAAAGCCACGGCUAACUACGUGCCAGCAGCCGCGGUAAUACGUAGGUGGCAAGCGUUGUCCGGAUUUAUUGGGCGUAAAGGGAGCGUAGACGGCAUAGCAAGUCUGAAGUGAAAUGCAUGGGCUCAACCCAUGAACUGCUUUGGAAACUGUUAAGCUAGAGUGCAGGAGAGGUAAGUGGAAUUCCUAGUGUAGCGGUGAAAUGCGUAGAUAUUAGGAGGAACACCAGAGGCGAAGGCGGCUUACUGGAUGGUAACUGACGUUGAGGCUCGAAAGCGUGGGGAGCAAACAGGAUUAGAUACCCUG